rnacentral:rRNA from 1 species
AUUGAACGCUGGCGGCAUGCUUUACACAUGCAAGUCGAACGGUAGCAGGGUGCUUGCACCGCUGACGAGUGGCGAACGGGUGAGUAAUGCGUCGGAACGUGCCGAGUAGUGGGGGAUAACGCAGCGAAAGUUGUGCUAAUACCGCAUACGUACUGAGGUAGAAAGUGGGGGACCUUCGGGCCUCACGCUAUUCGAGCGGCCGACGUCUGAUUAGCUAGUAGGUGAGGUAAAGGCUCACCUAGGCGACGAUCAGUAGCGGGUCAGAGAGGAUGAUCCGCCACACUGGGACUGAGACACGGCCCAGACUCCUACGGGAGGCAGCAGUGGGGAAUUUUGGACAAUGGGCGAAAGCCUGAUCCAGCCAUGCCGCGUGUCUGAAGAAGGCCUUCGGGUUGUAAAGGACUUUUGUCAGGGAGGAAAUCCCUAGUGCUAAUAACACUGGGGGAUGACAGUACCUGAAGAAUAAGCACCGGCUAACUACGUGCCAGCAGCCGCAGUAA